rnacentral:lncRNA from 1 species
GCAGGCUGCAGGACUGGGCGUGAGCAGUUUGUCCACGGCAGCACCAAGGGAACUGGCCUUUCUCCCUCAGAAGUGGGGCAGGACUCUGUGGGUGGUCGAGCCUCUCUAAGAUCGAGAAUGGGAAUAUAAAGCAGAGAGGAGAGAUGUGAAUUCUCAAGGCAUGGCUGGAAAACAAGGAAUGCAGAUGAUGUGACUCUCAGAUGGAGCUUUUUAAAGACCACCGCCCCCUGCGCUGCGUCUAGCCACAACACAGCGGAGAAAGGACAGUAGAGCCGGCUGAUGGACCCCUGGCCCGGUUACCUGGGCAUCCCAGUCUGUGCCUGGCCAUUCUGGGUCUCUCAGGCCUGACC